rnacentral:rRNA from 1 species
GAUCAUUACCGAGUUACAACUCCCAAACCCAAUGUGAACCAUACCAAACUGUUGCCUCGGCGGGGUCACGCCCCGGGCGCGUCGCAGCCCCGGAACCAGGCGCCCGCCGGAGGGACCAACCAAACUCUUUUCUGUAGUCCCCUCGCGGACGUUAUUUCUUACAGCUCUGAGCAAAAAUUCAAAAUGAAUCAAAACUUUCAACAACGGAUCUCUUGGUUCUGGCAUCGAUGAAGAACGCAGCGAAAUGCGAUAAGUAAUGUGAAUUGCAGAAUUCAGUGAAUCAUCGAAUCUUUGAACGCACAUUGCGCCCGCCAGUAUUCUGGCGGGCAUGCCUGUCCGAGCGUCAUUUCAACCCUCGAACCCCUCCGGGGGGUCGGCGUUGGGGACCUCGGGAGCCCCUAAGACGGGAUCCCGGCCCCGAAAUACAGUGGCGGUCUCGCCGCAGCCUCUCCUGCGCAGUAGUUUGCACAACUCGCACCGGGAGCGCGGCGCGUCCACGUCCGUAAAACACCCAACUUCUGAAAUGUUGACCUCGGAUCAGGUAGGAAUACCCGCUGA